rnacentral:misc_RNA from 1 species
AAGUCGUAACAAGGUUUCCGUAGGUGAACCUGCGGAAGGAUCAUUAUCACGUAUCCACGUAUAAACCAUCGCGAACCGUUACCUUUGGGGGAGAAUAACCGUGGGAGACAAGCACAUGAACUCUUUCUUGUGAUUUAUAGUUCGCUUGUCCUCUCCAGAGUGCGACUCGUUAUUCUUCUCUGAAGUGUAUUUUUUUAAAUCACUCACUAUUAACCUUUUGAACCCAUUUUAAACUCUGAACUGAUCUAUUUCUUACUCUUCGGAGAAGAAAUUCAUUACGAAACAAAGAACAACUCUUAGCAACGGAUAUCUUGGUUCUC